rnacentral:rRNA from 1 species
AGUGAACGCUGGCGGUAGGCCUAACACAUGCAAGUCGAACGGCAGCACAGUAAGAGCUUGCUCUUACGGGUGGCGAGUGGCGGACGGGUGAGGAAUAAAUCGGAAUCUACUUUUUCGUGGGGGAUAACGUAGGGAAACUUACGCUAAUACCGCAUACGACCUACGGGUGAAAGCAGGGGAUCUUCGGACCUUGCGCGAUUGAAUGAGCCGAUGUCGGAUUAGCUAGUUGGCGGGGUAAAGGCCCACCAAGGCGACGAUCCGUAGCUGGUCUGAGAGGAUGAUCAGCCACACUGGAACUGAGACACGGUCCAGACUCCUACGGGAGACAGCAGUGGGUAAUAUUGGACAAUGGGCACAAUCCUAAUCCAGCCAUACCGCGUGGGUGAAGAAGUCCUUCGGGUUGUAAAGCCCUUUUGUUGGGAAAGAAAAGCAGCAGGUUAAUACCCCGCUGUUCUGAAGGUACCAAAAGAAUAAGCACAGGCUAACUUCGU